rnacentral:lncRNA from 1 species
AUGGAGCGCUCGUCCUCUGACGCUGUGACCAAACGUAAACAAUAUAAUGAGGUUAAUGGGAUCGUGUGUCAUCGUAAGUCCAGGUGGUCUUUAAGUCACAUGUGUUGUAACUUGAGGACCACCGGUAACGUCGUGCUGUGUUUUACAGGGCUCGGUGGACUUUGGCUCAACUCAACUGAAGAUAAAAACACAGAAAAACAUCUAUAUAUAGACAAUUCUGCAAUAACAGAAAGACAGAAGAAUGCAAGAGAACUCUUGGAUGAGCUGUGCUCUGAAGCUCUGCUGAGUGGCACUUUUAGAAACCGACGCCAGAUGUUGGCCAUCGGGCCUCCGUCUGCACUCGCUUGUCCGCGGAGGGAGGCCCGCGAGCGUGCUCGUUUUCCCUCACGAGAGCGCUGUAGGAUGGUGACGCGGUUCCCGGAGGACAGCGGGAGGAAAGCGCGUUCCUUAGGUGGCCACGAUUUUGCUCAAUUUCUUCACUCAAGCUUAAGGCAGGACCGGCGGGUGCCCGCGCCGCCGAGGCAUCGGGGAGGCCGUGGAAGAAAACGGCACUGUUUGUGUGUUACAACAGGGACGCCUGCGCAAAGCGCACAUGUAGCGUGUCCGUCGAAGCAGCCGAAAGAAGGCGAGAGAAAAUUUGCAGAACCCCUGGUCCGAGGGCAAGGAACGUCAGUAGGUUUACGGAUGCUGAAGGAGUGGAUUUAUUAAUGCAAGCCAUAACAAAAUCAAAAAGAUGGACAGUGAGCGGACAGAAGGAAGAGGGACGGAAGGAGAAUCGCCGAAGAAACUAAAAGAGUUGGGAGUAGAGGGAACAGGAUAACGAAACGAACUUCUGUGUUAAAAUGCAUGACAAAACAAACAAACAAUGAAUUCAAUUUUAAUAAGAGAAGAAAAUAAAAAUCGAUAAAAUUAAUUAUUAAAUGAGGUU